rnacentral:rRNA from 1 species
GACAGAGGCCUCAAGCGUUAGGCGGAAUCACUGGGCUUAAAGCGUGUGUAGGCGGAUCGUUAAGUACCUUGUGAAAUCCCCACGGCUCACCCGUGGAACUGCUGGGUAUACUGGCGAUCUUGGGCCAACUAGGGGCAGCUGGAACAAGCGGUGGAGCGGUGAAAUGCGUAGAUAUCGCUUGGAACGCCGGAAGGUGAAAAACAGGCUGCUGGGGUUGUGCCGACGCUGAGACACGAAAGCCAGGGGGAGCAAACGGG